AUGACAUGGAUAACUACGUGAUUUUUUUUACACGCUGGCAAGCCACGUGGGCAAAACGACGUCGUUUUGAUAUUUUGAAGAAUUUCCAAAAUAAAAAAAAUAAAAAAAUAAAAGAAAUCCUAAAAUCCAGCGAGCAUUCCACUACUUUCUUCCUACUCUAGGCGGUUCGCCGCGCUGCCGUCACCAUUUUCAGAAUCCGGCGAACCAUCACCGGUCUCCCCUUCCGAUUCAAAGGCUGAGCAACAUGACUCCACCCCUUCGAAACACCACCGCAAACACCAAGGCAAAAAUCACACUCCACG
rnacentral:lncRNA from 1 species